GGUAUAGAAGCUCCUUGCAUGCAUGAUUUUAUUUACUUCUCACAAUAAGCCUUCAAGGUAGACACAGAAGGGUGGAGUGAAUAUGAGGGUUUAGAGGUGAAGAAAUGUACACUCAGAAAUGAGGGAAAGGGUACCUGGGAAGUGCUCUAUGUGAACUAUCCCUUUCCACCUUCCCCCUCACAGUACAGCUCCCACUCCCCCAGUACAUAGACUACUUCCAGAAGAUCAAAUAUGCCUUCAAUCUCUUGGUAGGUCAACCCUUUGUAGGAAGAGUCCUGGAGCCAAUCUCCUCCUCUGGGUUUCUUCCCUUCCAAAUCCAUUUCCACCUCAUCCUUCACCCACCCCCAUUAUGAACUCUACUUCUUCUCCAUAGCUUCUUUCCAAAAUCAGCUCCUACCUCUUAGCCUUCUUCACUCCAAAAUCCAUCACAGUACCCCUAUGUUGCCCCCUCUAUUGCCUGGGUUUCCAGUGAGUUGGCCAUUCACAAAUAGAGAAUGGUGUCCAAUCACUUCCAUUCCCUCUCUGGAGUAUUUGGCUGUAGGAGGAGGGGGGGUUACCUUUUUGUGUCCCCAGGGGAAGACAAGCCACUUCCUGGAAGAGUCCAGUGUCCGAGAAUUAGUCUUCAGCUUCUUCCAGUCUCUGGAAUAUGUCAUUUAUUAUUGCCCUGACAACACCCUGCCAAAACAGAUAAACUCUCCCUUGCUGACAGACAAUGCCAUAAAUUUACUGAAAAUGAACCUGAAACCAAACCAGAUUACGUACUGGAGAGAAUUUGGAAAUGCUUGGACUAAAUCACGAAACUCUUGGCCAAGUGAAUGCAGACCCCCGGCCUACAUACCCACCUUUUAUGAUGGCUGGAAGCUCCCCGAAAUUGAGCCAGUCAAGGCUUCCACCCAGACUCCCUCGGCUUCGAAGUUUUGACCAGAUUCCUACUCCCCUGGGUCAAGCCCUCCGGCAGACAGUUGCUAAGGACCAAGGAGAGCAACAGAUUGGAGGACACCCCUUUUCUCCCACUCCCAUUUCUCACAGUUGGAAAUUUCUCUUCUGUUCUUCCACUCUUCUGCUCUGAAGUUGACCCACCCUGUUUUUUCACUUUGUCCCAGAGAAGAAAGACAAGAAGAUUUCAAAAUCUCUAAAAUUUCCCAAAGGAACCUCAGGAGCUUUGCACUCCAGUCUAUAUUUAAAGGAAUGUCUGUGACAGUAUCCCUUACCCAGGGGCUUAAAGACCUCCAUUGAGGGGAAGUCCAUUGCCUCUUGAUGAAGCUCAUUCUGCUUUGAGCCAGCUUGAUUAUGAGGAAUCUUUUUCUAACAUCAGCUUAAAUUUGCUUUUUUACAUCUCAGACCUCUUAUCUUUAGUUUAAUCUAUAGGAUCAAAUGGAGCUAGAUUGUCUCCCCCUUCUUUCUUUUCCAGGAUAUACCUUCCCAUCCCCUUCAACUCAUUGUCACAUGAAUUCAAAUCGACCGCCUUCACCAUUCUGGUUGAGGCAAGAGGUGAUGGCUUUCAUUCCUGACUCUUAAUAAGACCUAGAGUCAUCCCUCAAUUUUAUAUAUCUUUUCUUCUCACUUGUAUCCAACCCCAAAUUCUGGCAUUUAUCCUACUUUUCUCCCUUUCCCUGUUCCUCCCAAUAAACCAAUGUU